UACGAGUGCUCCAAGCGUUAUCCGGAAUUAUUGGGCGUAAAGGGUGUGUAGGUUGACCUGUUAGUCAGAUGUUAAAACUUCCCGCUUAACGGGAAAAGGGCAUUUGAAACGGCAGGACUAGAGGAUGCGAGAGGUGAACAGAACUCAUGGCGUAGGGGUGAAAUCCGUUGAUAUCAUGGGGAAUACCAAAUGCGAAGGCAGUUCACUGGAGCACUCCUGACACUGAAACACGAAAGCGUGGGUAGCGAACUGG
rnacentral:rRNA from 1 species